UACGUAGGGUGCAAGCGUUGUCCGGAAUUAUUGGGCGUAAAGAGCUCGUAGGCGGUUUGUCGCGCCGAAUGUGAAAACCCGGGGCUCAACCCCGGGCCUGCAUUCGAUACGGGCAGACUAGAGUUCGGUAGGGGAGUCUGGAAUUCCUGGUGUAGCGGUGAAAUGCGCAGAUAUCAGGAGGAACACCGGUGGCGAAGGCGGGACUCUGGGCCGAUACUGACGCUGAGGAGCGAAAGCGUGGGGAGCGAACAGG
rnacentral:rRNA from 1 species